GCCGAUGUACAUGAAUAUGUAAAUCAAAAUUUAGUGAUAGAAUCAACAGAGUUGCUCGAUGUUCCACGGGUUGUCGACGUCUUCAUCAAAGAGAUGUUGGAGCCUAUACGACUCAGGUCCAGGAGCUUGGACACGACAAACGGUCCCUCCCACGAUGAGUUUAGCUUGUGCAGCCUCUUGGUGUGUUGGAUACGCUUGAGGACCAUAUCGCCUACAUUGAAAGCUUUGGUGAUGUCUAGCUUGAAGAAGAGUGCGG
rnacentral:lncRNA from 1 species